GAGUAUAGCUCAGUUGGUAGAGCGUCUGGUUCCCAUCCAGAAGGUCGCGAGUUCGAACCUCGUUACU
rnacentral:tRNA from 1 species